rnacentral:lncRNA from 1 species
UCUUGGUGUCCUGGCGCCAGCUGGAUGGGCGGGACCUCAUCAUUAUGAUCAGUUUUCUUUACAGGAAUUUGCUGUACAGCAUCAGCGAGGAGUCUCAUUUCAGAUCUUUGUGUGUGCUGCAGGAUGUAUGCUUUGCUGCUUGGAUUGAUAAAACAUGGGCCAAGGUUUCCAUACAAGAACGAACUUCAAUUUGGCUGUAGCACCAUCAGUGCUUGGGUGGCGCCUCCCGAAUGAAUCAUCGCAGAUUUUGCUUGCCUGUGUCUACAAGAACCUUCACGCUUGACCUGCGACAGAAAGCAUUUGUGGGCAGCCAGUGCCCUCCUACAAAGACUGGCCUGCUCUGGCUGCGACAGCGAUCAUCUUGGAAGAAAUAUGCAUAGCCACCUUUGCUGCUAUUUGUCACUCUUGUUAAUUACACUUUCUGCAUCUUUUCUCAUUUAUUAGUUAAUAAAGUUUCACUGUGUGACAUGGUGUAAAGUAGAUGUCUUGCUGCAUUUUGGCUUGCAGUCCUAUUCUGUGCACUUCAUUCAUGAAAAGCUCAAAGUACAGUGUGUGUAAAACAGCAUAUUCUAAUUUAUCUUUCAGUUCUGGUAACAUGCACUAUGCAAGGGAUUCACUAAUGGAGGCUAUGCCGAAGAACUGGCCAUUAUUUCUGCGUGAUGCUCUGCAAGCAUAUAGCAAUACUUAACAAGGGACACCCACAAAAUGACGAGACUUGGGUACUCUUUGAAUAUGACCCGGAGUCCAAAAGGCAAUCAUCGGAGUGGCACACGCACUCGGCCCCUCGCCAGAAGAAAGCCAGGAUGAGCAAAUUAAAGAUCAAGAUCAUGCUUUUUUUUUUUUUAUGUCCACGGACUGGUUCGUCACAAGUUUGUAGAA